AUAUACAUUGGUGUAUGAUAUGUAUAGACAUGUGCAGAUGGUGUUUUAAAUAGAGCUAGUACAGUUAAUUCUAAAACCAACCCACUACUCUAUUUCUCGAAACCUUAGCCAACUACCACCUCUGACUAAUUAUUUUCUGUAUUAUUGACCCAAAUUUGCUAAAGUUUAGAUACCUUAAUAUGAAAUAAUUUUGCUUGUCGAUCAGUGUAAUCUAGUACUGGGUUGGUUUCUUACACUAGUAGGAAGACUAACAGAGGCAGAGUACAGUUCUGAAAAUUUGCACUUGUUCAUUGCACUAAACUAUAUCCUCCUUUUACAGUCCGCAGGAGGUGCAAGAUACUCAUCAAGGUUUUGGGUGAAACACAUUUAAAUGUACUACAUACACACAUGCAUGCACAUACAAACAUGCACACAUCCAUUUUUACACCCACACUUCUGAAAAAAUGCACUUUUCAGAUGUUUAUUUUUUGGAAUGGUAAAUUCUUACAUAUCAGCCUAUGUAAACACUGUAUAUCCUCAGUAAUACAAGAGGGUUUUAAUGUAUGUAAAACCAGGUUUACUUCCUGAUCUUCACCUCUUCUUUUACGCAGUUUUAUGAAGAUAACGUGAACUGUUCUGUUAAAGUGGUUUUACACCAUCUGUAUCAGGGCAUGUGCUUCGGCUUGUCCAUGUUCAUGUGCAAAGUAUAUACAGUAUGCAUCCAUGGACACUGGUGCCUGCAUUUAACAUGGGAAGCACAUGUAACAGGAGAUGCAGCAGACUUUCCCAGGAGAAACUGACUGACAGAAGACACGUUAUGUACUGUAUAGCUGCAGUUGGAAUGCUAGUAGCUAGUAAUAUGAUAUUCUCCUGAAGCAAUACGACUGGUGUCAGUGACAGCAGUGACCUGUCAAAGGAGGUUUUAGUAAACCAUACUUGAUUUACUACUGGUUUUUAAGUUCAAAUACUUUUUACCACUGUGUUCCAAUAACAUUUGCAUUGUUUCAUAGAAGUGACAAGCCUUUUUUUUUUUAUUUAACAGUUUACCUAAUGCCUUAUUUAUUAUUGAGUUUUUGGAUAUGCCUGGCAAGAUUGCCAAAUCAGUAUGUUUUUGUCCUUCUGUACAUGAGCAGAAGUUUACAAUAAAAUAGAUACCCAUGACUUUACAUUGAGAUGCUGUCUGUAUACUUCACCCAAGUUGGGCUGAUGCUCAAGUGUAAAAAUAUAAAGAUCCAAAUUGGUGUUAAAAAAAAAA